CCUACGGGGGGCAGCAGUGAGGAAUAUUGGUCAAUGGGCGCGAGCCUGAACCAGCCAAGUCGCGUGAGGGAAGACGGUCCUAUGGAUUGUAAACCUCUUUUGUCGGGGAGCAAAAGACGCCACGCGUGGCGUUCCGAGAGUACCCGAAGAAAAAGCAUCGGCUACCUCCGUGCCAGCAGCCGCGGUAAUACGGAGGAUGCGAGCGUUAUCCGGAUUUAUUGGGGUUAAGGGGUGCUCAGGCGGCAGAUAAAGCCGGCGGGACAAUUGAGAGGCUCAACCUCUUCGAGCCGUUGAAACUGGUUUGCUUGAGUGAGUGAGAAGUAUGCGGAAUGCGUGGUGUAGCGGUGAAAUGCAUAGAUAUCACGUAGAACUCCGAUUGCGAAGGCAGCAUACCGGCGCUCAACUGACGCUGAUGCACGAAAGUGUGGGUAUCGAACAGGAUUAGAUACCCUUGUAGUC
rnacentral:rRNA from 1 species